rnacentral:rRNA from 1 species
AGAGUUUGAUCCUGGUUCAGGAUGAACGCUGGCGGUAUGCUUAACACAUGCAAGUCGAACGGGAUGCUUAGGCAUCUAGUGGCGGACGGGUGAGUAACGCGUGAGAAUCUGGCUCCAGGUCGGGGAUAACAGUUGGAAACGACUGCUAAUACCGGAUGUGCCGAGAGGUGAAAGAUUUAUCGCCUGGAGAUGAGCUCGCGUCUGAUUAGCUAGUUGGCGGUGUAAGGGACCACCAAGGCGUCGAUCAGUAGCUGGUCUGAGAGGAUGAUCAGCCACACUGGGACUGAGACACGGCCCAGACUCCUACGGGAGGCAGCAGUGGGGAAUUUUCCGCAAUGGGCGAAAGCCUGACGGAGCAAUACCGCGUGAGGGAGGAAGGCUCUUGGGUCGUAAACCUCUUUUCUCAAGGAAGAAGAAAGUGACGGUACUUGAGGAAUAAGCAUCGGCUAACUCCGUGCCAGCAGCCGCGGUAAUACGGAGGAUGCAAGCGUUAUCCGGAAUGAUUGGGCGUAAAGGGUCUGCAGGUGGAACUGAAAGUCUGCUGUUAAAGAGUUUGGCUUAACCAAAUAAAAGCGGUGGAAACUACAGAACUAGAGUGCGGUAGGGGCAAAAGGAAUUCCUGGUGUAGCGGUGAAAUGCGUAGAUAUCAGGAAGAACACCGGUGGCGAAAGCGUUUUGCUAGACCGUAACUGACACUGAGGGACGAAAGCUAGGGGAGCGAAUGGGAUUAGAUACCCCAGUAGUCCUAGCCGUAAACGAUGGAUACUAGGCGUGGCUUGUAUCGACCCGAGCCGUGCCGGAGCUAACGCGUUAAGUAUCCCGCCUGGGGAGUACGCACGCAAGUGUGAAACUCAAAGGAAUUGACGGGGGCCCGCACAAGCGGUGGAGUAUGUGGUUUAAUUCGAUGCAACGCGAAGAACCUUACCAAGACUUGACAUCCUGCGAAUCCCGGUGAAAGCUGGGAGUGCCUUAGGGAGCGCAGAGACAGGUGGUGCAUGGCUGUCGUCAGCUCGUGUCGUGAGAUGUUGGGUUAAGUCCCGCAACGAGCGCAACCCUCGUUUUUAGUUGCCAGCAUUAAGUUGGGCACUCUAGAGAGACUGCCGGUGACAAACCGGAGGAAGGUGAGGAUGACGUCAAGUCAGCAUGCCCCUUACGUCUUGGGCUACACACGUACUACAAUGCUACGGACAGAGGGCAGCGAGCCAGGGAUGGCAAGCGAAUCCAGAAACCGUAGCUCAGUUCAGAUCGAAGGCUGCAACUCGCCUUCGUGAAGGAGGAAUCGCUAGUAAUUGCAGGUCAGCAUACUGCAGUGAAUUCGUUCCCGGGCCUUGUACACUCCGCCCGUCACACCAUGGAAGUUGGUCACGCCCGAAGUCAUUACCCCAACCGAAAGGAGGGGGAUGCCUAAGGUAGGACUGGUGACUGGGGUGAAGUCGUAACAAGGUAGCCGUACCGGAAGGUGUGG